GCUCCCGUGGUGUAGUCCGGCCAAUCAUUCCGGCCUUUCGAGCCGGCCACUCGGGUUCGAAUCCCGACGGGAGCA
rnacentral:tRNA from 2 species